CUAUUACGGGCUUAUUACAUUACGCCCCUAUUCCUAAAAUCUGUUGCUUUCUAUUCCCGAAGGAAAGCUCAGUUUUGCUUCCAUUUUGGUUCUCCUGAUUUCAUCUGCCCUGUUUUACCCUCCCAACCCGAAAGCCACAUCCACCCUCUCCCUCUCAACAUCAAACAGAACCUCCCCUUACAUUUUCCUUUAUUUUCCUUCUUUAUUACAAGUGCAAAAGAAAUCUGAGUCAGAUUUGUUCUUGAAGGUAACUGCAAAAAAAACUGGAGGACCGACCACACCAACUCUAGGAAAAUCGAAGAGGCCUCAUCGUUUUCGAGCAGGAACUAGGUCUCUUCAAGAGAUUCGGAAAUACCAGAAGACCUCAAAUCUACUCGUUUCUACUGCCAGCUUCAUCAGAGAAAUAGAGCCAAUCCCAAGUGGAAAUCUGCCUCCUGGUUUUGAUCCUAUUGAAGGUUGCAAGCGUAUCAGAAAGGAAAAUGUAUUAUUUUCAAGAUUUUCCCUCUUCUUUUUUUUCCCUUUAUGAAGCUGUGAGGGUGCACUAUAAUGAAUAUUUUAUAUGGAGCUUUAAUUCUCUGCCUCUGGAAGGUACCUUUUUUUGAAGCAAUGUAGGAAUGGGAUAGCAAUGUAGGGUGUUGGAUUUAUUUUUUCUUAAUCAAUUUAUAUAUAUAUGAUUUUGAUA